rnacentral:rRNA from 1 species
UACGGAGGGUGCGAGCGUUGUCCGGAAUCACUGGGCGUAAAGGGUGCGUAGGCGGGUCUUUAAGUCAGGGGUGAAAUCCUGGAGCUCAACUCCAGAACUGCCUUCGAUACCUGGGAGUCUUGAGUCCGGGAGAGGUGAGUGGAACUGCGAGUGUAGAGGUGAAAUUCGUAGAUAUUCGCAAGAACACCAGUGGGCGAAGGCGGCUCACUGGCCCGGUACUGACGCUGAGGUGCGAAAGCGUGGGGAGCAAACAGG